GACACAAAAGGCAUUAAUAAUGUUUUCACAAAUAUGGCAUGUAUUGUACCACAUAUUCCAGGUUUCGUAGAAUGAAAGGAGUUAAACUUUUAUUUCUAAAUGGUAAUUUUUUGUAGAUAUGCUUUAGCAACUUCCUAUUUUUUUAUUUAACUAACAAGAGGGAGCAAGGGAUACCUUGUGAGAGGGAGGUGGAGAAUGAUGGAUUUCGUUGAGUGGCCGAGAAGGAUAGUUUGACAUUUCAAGGUCUUCCUUUUGGGCAAGAGAGAAUAUAGAUUGCUCUAUCUGGGCGAGACAGAGAGAG
rnacentral:lncRNA from 1 species